rnacentral:lncRNA from 1 species
UCUUAACGAAAGAGAAAACGCAAAUAGACCAAACGUAACCAGCUUGACCAACAUAACGGUUUAAAACUUCUACUGAUCAUUUUUCAGGUUAUGUUUAGCAUGAUUGUAAGAAGGAGAUUAGGUUAUGUUUUAUCAACAAACUGAACAGUCAGGUUAAGAUGUAACAAAGUACAGUAGAUACAAAAUUAUUCAUAACUUGGUAGGUUUAUUCUUAUAAAUAAGCCCUUCUUUAGCAGAAGACUUAUCAAACACAAAGACAUAAUAUUGAUGAAUUCGUUUAAAACAGAAAGUUGAAACGAUUAAUAGUAUGAUUAGGCUAUUCAUCACUGUACCAGAGAAUAACAGGCUGAUUGAGCUAUGGAUGAAACUUUCUGCUGGGUCUAUCUUGCUAGUUUAUUGCUGGUGAUCACCGUAUCAAUUAUCAGGCACGAAAAUAUGUCACAAAGACCGCAGGGACAGUUCAUCGUGUGUGUUGUUCCUCAUUCUGCAAAGACAGUAGUGAACAUGUUAUCCUAUAGUUUGACACCGUACACAUCGUUUUACCAUUACCAUAGUUUAUCCCACUUCCAUUGUAUAAUUUUGUACAUUACAAAACAUGUGUUCUUUCAUGAAUAAUAAUGUAUUUAUGUAGAUUAACAAUUUAUUGUUACUUUCGCAAUUUUUCAUGUUUUGAAAAAAAAAUUAAAAAGUAUUAUAUACGGUACUUCAUUGGAUAAUUAUUUUAUAUUAUGUCAUUCUAUCAAUAUUUUGCAGUUGCAGAAAUUUCACAACCAUUUAUUUUAAUUUAUUUGAAAUAAGUAGGUAGUUGUGAUAAUUUCUAGUAUUUUUAUUUGAUAUGAAUAUCAUCUACCACAAUAUCACCUCCACUACUACACACAAAAUUUCAUCUGUCUCUGUCUUCUUGCGUUUUGAGAUGCAAAUAAUUUGAUCAGUCUGGUGGCACGUAGCCAGGAUUUGAUUUCGGGUGGGGCGAAUGAGAUUUGAUUGCCGUGGAGAUUCAACAAAAAAAUCAACUUACACCUAAAAUUAGCAUUUUCUGCGUAUUCUAAACUUUUUGGAGAACAGAUAAACAGCAAAUUUUCGAAUUUGGUUGAGAAGUUCAGCUGAGGUGUAGAAAUAUUGUAUUAAAAGGGUUUUGAACUAAUGCCAAUGAUACGACCCAAAAAAGGCGGGUUUCAGCGUUUUUCAUGAGUUAUCAAGCAUUUUUCUGCGUUUCCUCAGCAUUCUGCAUUUUCCAUUUGGCUUGCACUUCCUUCGAUCCAAGGUCAAAAGAGUCUUUCAGGCUUGAUUCAAUCUCCGGUUGAUUUCAAUUAUGUAUCUAAUCCUAUCAAUU